CCUGUCCCUAGAUGCAUUGCUGAUGUGGCUGUGUGCCAUGUAGCAUGUUUGUCAAAAGGUGAUAGAGAGGAACGACGCUAUGUCUAUGCUCAGUGUUCUGACCUGUGAACAUCUGAAUGAUUAAUAGCCUAAUACA
rnacentral:snoRNA from 1 species